UAAGACCUUGCGCUAUUGGAUGAGCCGAAGUCGGAUUAGCUAGUUGGUAGGGUAACGGCCUACCAAGGCGACAAUCCGUAGCUGGUCUGAGAGGACGACCAGCCACACUGGGACUGAGACACGGCCCAGACUCCUGCGGGAGGCAGCAGUGGGGAAUUUUGGACAAUGGGGGCAACCCUGAUCCAGCCAUGCCGCGUGAGUGAAGAAGGCCUUCGGGUUGUAAAGCUCUUUCAGCCGGAACGAAACGGUUACGGUUAAUACCCGUGACUACUGACGGUACCGGAAGAAGAAGCACCGGCUAACUACGUGCCAGCAGCCGCGGUAAUACGUAGGGUGCGAGCGUUAAUCGGAAUUACUGGGCGUAAAGCGUGCGCAGGUGGUUUUGUAAGUCAGAUGUGAAAUCCCCGGGCUUAACCUGGGAAUU
rnacentral:rRNA from 1 species